rnacentral:rRNA from 1 species
CCCGCCGGACCUGACUGCUAUCGGAUUGAUACUAAGCCAUGCGAGUCUUUGUAGUAAUACAAGGCAGACGGCUCAGUAACACGUAGUCAACCUACCCUAUGGACAAGAAUAAUCUCGGGAAACUGGGCAUAAUUCUUGAUAGAUCAUAAUGCCUGGAAUGGUUUAUGGUUAAAAUGAUUCGUCGCCAUAGGAUGGGACUGCGGCCUAUCAGCUUGUUGGUGAGGUAAUGGCCCACCAAGGCGAUUACAGGUACGGGCUCUGAGAGGAGAAGCCCGGAGAUGGGUACUGAGACACGGACCCAGGCCCUAUGGGGCGCAGCAGGCGAGAAAACUUUGCAAUGUGCGAAAGCACGACAAGGUUAAUCCGAGUGAUUUCUGCUAAAGAAAUCUUUUGCCAGUCGUAAAACCGCUGGUGAAUAAGGGGUGGGCAAGUUCUGGUGUCAGCCGCCGCGGUAAAACCAGCACCUCAAGUGGUCAGGAUGAUUAUUGGGCCUAAAGCAUCCGUAGCCGGCUUUGUAAGUUUUCGGUUAAAUCCAUGUGCUCAACGCAUGGGCUGCCGAAAAUACUGCAUAGCUAGGGAGUGGGAGAGGUAGACGGUACUCAGUAGGUAGGGGUAAAAUCCUUUGAUCUAUCGAUGACCACCUGUGGCGAAGGCGGUCUACCAGAACACGUUCGACGGUGAGGGAUGAAAGCUGGGGGAGCAAACCGGAUUAGAUACCCGGGUAGUCCCAGCUGUAAACGAUGCAGACUAGAUGAUGCAUUGGCAUAAUAGCCAUUGCAGUGUCUCAGGGAAGCCGUUAAGUCUGCCGCCUGGGAAGUACGUACGCAAGUAUGAAACUUAAAGGAAUUGGCGGGGGAGCACCACAAGGGGUGAAGCCUG